GAGUUUGAUCCUGGCUCAGGAUGAACGCUGGCGAGAUGCUUUACACAUGCAAGUCGUACGAAAGUUUUUAACUCUAGUGGCGGACGGGUGAGUAACACGUGAGAAUUUGCCUUUAGGAAGGGGACAACUGCUAGAAAUUGCUGUUAAUACCCCAUAUGCUUUCGAGUGAAAUGGAUUUUUCCGCCUAGAGAGAAGCUUGCGGCUGAUUAGCUUGUUGGUGAGGUAAUGGCUUACCAAGGCGACGAUCAGUAUCUGGUUUGAGAGGAGGAUCAGACACACUGGAACUGAGACACGGUCCGGCCUCCUGCGGGAGGCACCAGUGGGGAAUUUUCCCCAAGGGGCAAAACCCUGACGGAGCAAUCUCCCGUGAGGAAUGACUGCCUAUGGGUUGUAAACCUCUUUUUUCAGGGAGGAAUAAAAGAUGUGUACCUGAAAAAUAAGCAUCGGUUAACUCCGUGCCAGCAGCCGCGGUAAUACGGAAGGUCCAAGCAUUAAUCAAAAUUAAUGGGCGUAAAGCCCGCGUAGGUGGUUUUUUAACUUGGAUGUGAAAGCCCUGGGCUCAACCUAGGAACUGCAUCCAAAACUAGAUGACUAGAAUACGAAGGAGGGAAGUAGAAUUCACAGUGUAGCUGAGGAAUGCAUAGAUAUUGUGAAGAAUACCCAUGGCGAACGCUCCUUCCUGGUUCUGUACUGACACUGAGGUGAGAAAGCGUGGGUAGGGAACAGGAAGAGAUACCAUGGUCCUCCACGCCGUAAAUGAUGACAACUAUGCUGUUGCUCACACUAGAUCUCUCAGUGGCGCAGCUAACGCUUUCAGCCUGUCCGGCCUGGGGGAGUACGGCCGCAAGGUUAAAACUCAAAUGAAUUGACGGGGGGCCGCACAAGCGGUGGAGCAAGUGGUUUAAUUUGAUGCAACGCGAAAAGCCUUACCUACUCCUGACAUACUUGGAAGCUCUUGUAAUGAGAGGGAGCUCUUUGAGGCAAGAUACAGGUGGUGCAUGGCGGUCGUCAGCUGGUGUCGUGAGAAGAUGGGGUAAGUACCAUAACGAGGGCAACCCUCCCCCUUAUUUGCCAGCGGUUCGGCCGGGAAUUAUAAAGGGACUGCCGGUGCCAAACCGGAGGAAGGGGAGGAGGAGGUCAAGUCAUCAUGGCCCUUACGAGUAGGGUUACCCACGUGUUCCAAUGGGGAAUACAAAAGGACGGUAAAGCCAGAGGUGGUGUUAAUUCUAAAAAAUUUCUUAUAGUCCGGAUUGCAGUUUGCAAUUCGACUGCAGGAAGUGGGAAUCGUUAGUAAUCGUGAAUCAGCAUGUCGUGGUGAAUACGUUCUCGGGUCUUGUACACACCGCCCGUCACACCAAGGAAGUGUGUCGCACCAGAAGUAGGUAGUUUAACCUUAGGGAAGGCGCUUUCCACGGUGGGAUCCAUGACUGGGGUGAAGUCGUAACAAGGUAACC
rnacentral:rRNA from 1 species